rnacentral:lncRNA from 1 species
CUGCAUGUAUACAUAUAUCUUUAUUGUAGAUUGAUAUAUCAACCUUAAGAUGUGACACUGCAUGUAUAAAUAAACCAGACCGAACAAGGUAUUACGCAUACCUGAGCACAUACAACCAAUACUGAUCUUCCCCACUUUCCAGUGUCGUACUGUCACACCUCAAAAAUUUUGAUUUUGGGUUGUGCAUAGAAAAUACUAAGUAAAAUAAAUGAUUUCAAUAUUAAUAUAAUAUUCUCCAAUGUUACUUUA